rnacentral:rRNA from 1 species
AGCAGCCGCGGUAAUUCCAGCUCCAAUAGCGUAUAUUAAAGUUGUUGCAGUUAAAAAGCUCGUAGUUGAACUUCAGGCCUGUCCAGAUGGUCCGCCUUAAUUGGUGUGUACUGUCCUUGGGUGGGUCCUACCUUCUGGCGAAGCGGCAUGGCCUUAGUUGGUUGUGUUGGGGAACCAGGACUUUUACUGUGAAAAAAUUAGAGUGUUCAAAGCAGGCAUAUAUGCUCGAAUACAUUAGCAUGGAAUAAUGGAAUAGGACGAUGGUUCUAUUUUGUUGGUUCUAGGACCGUUGUAAUGAUUAAUAGGGAUAGUUGGGGGCAUUAGUAUUCAAUUGUCAGAGGUGAAAUUCUUGGAUUUAUUGAAGACUAACUACUGCGAAAGCAUUUGCCAAGGAUGUUUUCAUUUAUCAAGAACGAAAGUUAGGGGAUCGAAGACGAUCAGAUACCAUCG